CUACGGGCCGCAGCAGUGAGGAAUUUUGCGCAAUGGGGGGGACCCUGACGCAGCAACGCCGCGUGAGUGAUGAAGGAUUUCGGUUCGUAAAGCUCUGUCAAGUGGGAAGAACCUGUAUAAUGUUAAUAGCAUUAUAUACUGACGGUACCACUGAAGGAAGCACCGGCUAACUCCGUGCCAGCAGCCGCGGUAAUACGGAGGGUGCAAGCGUUAUUCGGAUUUACUGGGCGUAAAGGGCGCGCAGGCGGUCCUGUAAGUCAGAUGUGAAAGCCCGGGGCUCAACCCCGGAAGUGCAUUUGAAACUGUAGGACUUGAGUAUGGUAGAGGGAAGUGGAAUUCCAGGUGUAGCGGUGAAAUGCGUAGAUAUCUGGAGGAACACCGGUGGCGAAGGCGACUUCCUGGACCAAUACUGACGCUGAGGCGCGAAGGUGUGGGUAGCAAACAGGAUUAGAUACCCCUGUAGUC
rnacentral:rRNA from 1 species